rnacentral:rRNA from 1 species
GAACGCUGGCGGCGUGCUUGACACAUGCAAGUCGAACGAAGCACUCUAUUUGAUUUUCUUCGGAAAUGAAGAUUUUGUGACUGAGUGGCGGACGGGUGAGUAACGCGUGGGUAACCUGCCUCAUACAGGGGGAUAACAGUUGGAAACGACUGCUAAUACCGCAUAAGCGCACAGGAUCGCAUGAUCCGGUGUGAAAAACUCCGGCGGUAUGGGAUGGACCCGCGUCUGAUUAGCCAGUUGGCAGGGUAACGGCCUACCAAAGCGACGAUCAGUAGCCGACCUGAGAGGGUGACCGGCCACAUUGGGACUGAGACACGGCCCAAACUCCUACGGGAGGCAGCAGUGGGGAAUAUUGCACAAUGGGGGAAACCCUGAUGCAGCGACGCCGCGUGAGCGAAGAAGUAUUUCGGUAUGUAAAGCUCUAUCAGCAGGGAAGAAGAAUGACGGUACCUGACUAAGAAGCACCGGCUAAAUACGUGCCAGCAGCCGCGGUAAUACGUAUGGUGCAAGCGUUAUCCGGAUUUACUGGGUGUAAAGGGAGCGCAGGCGGUGCGGCAAGUCUGAUGUGAAAGCCCGGGGCUCAACCCCGGUACUGCAUUGGAAACUGUCGUACUAGAGUGUCGGAGGGGUAAGUGGAAUUCCUAGUGUAGCGGUGAAAUGCGUAGAUAUUAGGAGGAACACCAGUGGCGAAGGCGGCU